rnacentral:rRNA from 1 species
GCCUACGGGAGGCAGCAGGGGGAAUAUUGCACAAUGGGCGAAAGCCUGAUGCAGCUAUGCCGCGUGUAUGAAGAAGGCCUUAGGGUUGUAAAGUACUUUCAGCGGGGAGGAAAAAAAUAAAUCUAAUAAAUUUAUUUCGUGACGUUACCCGCAGAAGAAGCACCGGCUAACUCCGUGCCAGCAGCCGCGGUAAU